ACGCUCGACACCUACGGGAGGCAGCAGUUGGGAAUAUUGGACAAUGGAGGAAACGUCUGAUCCAGUGACGCCGCGUGAAGGAAGAAGGUCUUCGGAUUUGUAAACUUAUUUUGUCAGGGAAGAAAAAUGACUGUACCUGAAGAAAAAGCACCGGCUAACUACGUUCCAGCAGCCGCGGUAAUCUGAGCGGGCUGGCAAGGC
rnacentral:rRNA from 1 species